UGAAAAUAUAGAGCCUAUGGUCUUGCCCUAUUUUUAUUGUCUACUCUAUACAGUAAAAAAAAAAGAAAAAAAAAAGCUUUUUGUGUAUGGACCACUACGACCCUCCCCCUAAACAAAAAAAGAACAAAAAUAGUUGAUCCAGAAAAAGGAAGGAAGUGGAGCGUUUUUUCAACAUCAUAAGGGGGGCUGUGUCCCUAUUCCCCACUGUGUGCUUACCUCCCGACAUUUAUAGCCCAGAGGGCCUUGCUAAAGACCUCUAGCUGGAAGAACUGCGCACAAAGGAGAGAAUCAUACAAAUAAUAUGGUCCAGGAGAGACAAUGGGGAGGUCCUCGGGAUGGAAACAACAGGAUGAGACCGCUACUUAUGUGUUUGAAGUGAACCCAUUGACUGUGUAUCAUGGUAACUCCUGUUUGAAGGAGGCUGCAGGUUUGCUUAGCAUUCUUUAUUGUUGGUAUAUCUAAGUAUAAAAUAUA
ensembl:lncRNA